ACUCCUACGAGAGGCAGCAGUGGGGAAUAUUGCACAAUGGGCGCAAGCCUGAUGCAGCCAUGCCGCGUGUAUGAAGAAGGCCUUCGGGUUGUAAAGUACUUUCAGCAGUGAGGAAGGCGGGUACGUUAAUAGCGUGCUUGUUUGACGUUAGCUGCAGAAGAAGCACCGGCUAACUCCGUGCCAGCAGCCGCGGUAAUACGGAGGGUGCGAGCGUUAAUCGGAAUUACUGGGCGUAAAGCGCAUGCAGGUGGUUUGUUAAGUCAGAUGUGAAAGCCCGGGGCUCAACCUCGGAAUUGCAUUUGAAACUGGCAGACUAGAGUACUGUAGAGGGGGGUAGAAUUUCAGGUGUAGCGGUGAAAUGCGUAGAGAUCUGAAGGAAUACCGGUGGCGAAGGCGGCCCCCUGGACAGAUACUGACACUCAGAUGCGAAAGCGUGGGGAGCAAACA
rnacentral:rRNA from 1 species